rnacentral:rRNA from 1 species
GAUGAACGCUGGCGGCGUGCCUAACACAUGCAAGUCGAACGGAGCUGCUUUGAUGAAGUUUUCGGAUGGAUUUAAAACAGCUUAGUGGCGGACGGGUGAGUAACGCGUGGGUAACCUGCCUCACACUGGGGGAUAACAGUUAGAAAUAGCUGCUAAUACCGCAUAAGCGCACAGUUCCGCAUGGAACAGUGUGAAAAAACUCCGGUGGUGUGAGAUGGACCCGCGUCUGAUUAGCCAGUUGGCGGGGUAACGGCCCACCAAAGCGACGAUCAGUAGCCGGACUGAGAGGUUGAACGGCCACAUUGGGACUGAGAUACGGCCCAGACUCCUACGGGAGGCAGCAGUGGGGAAUAUUGGGCAAUGGGGGAAACCCUGAUGCAGCGACGCCGCGUGAGUGAUGAAGUAUUUCGGUAUGUAAAACUUCUAUCAGCAGGGAANAAAAUGACGGUACCUGACUAAG